rnacentral:rRNA from 1 species
CCUACGGGUGGCAGCAGUGAGGAAUAUUGGUCAAUGGGCGCGAGCCUGAACCAGCCAAGUCGCGUGAGGGAAGACGGUCCUAUGGAUUGUAAACCUCUUUUGUCGGGGAGCAAAAGACGCCACGCGUUGCGUUCCGAGAGUACCCGAAGAAAAAGCAUCGGCUAACUCCGUGCCAGCAGCCGCGGUAAUACGGGGGAUGCGAGCGUUAUCCGGAUUUAUUGGGUUAAAAGGGUGCGCAGGCGGAAGAUCAAGUCAGCGGUAAAAUUGAGAGGCUCAACCUCUUCGAGCCGUUGAAACUGGUGUUCUUGAGUGAAGGAGAGGUAUGCGGAAUGCGUGGUGUAGCGGUGAAAUGCAUAGAUAUCACGCAGAACUCCGAUUGCGAAGGCAGCAUACCGGCGCUCAACUGACGCUGAUGCACGAAAGUGUGGGUAUCGAACAGGAUUAGAUACCCUAGUAGUC